GACGAACGCUGGCGGCGUGCUUAACACAUGCAAGUCGAACGGUGAAGCGCCUUCCUUUUUGGUGGGUGUGGAUGAGUGGCGAACGGGUGAGUAACACGUGAGUAACCUGCCCCCUUCUUCUGGAUAACCGCAUGAAAGUGUGGCUAAUACGGGAUAUUCUGGGUCUGUCGCAUGAUGGGUCUGGGAAAGAUAUUGUUUCGGUGGGGGAUGGGCUCGCGGCCUAUCAGCUUGUUGGUGGGGUGAUGGCCUACCAAGGCGGUGACGGGUAGCCGGCCUGAGAGGGUGGACGGUCACACGGGGACUGAGACACGGCCCAGACUCCUACGGGAGGCAGCAGUGGGGAAUAUGGCACAAUGGGCGCAAGCCUGAUGCAGCGACGCCACGUGAGGGAUGGAGGCCUUCGGGUUGUGAACCUCUUUCGCCAGUGAAGCAGGCCUGCCUCGUUUGUGGGUGGGUUGACGGUAGCUGGAGAAGAAGCGCCGGCUAACUACGUG
rnacentral:rRNA from 1 species